UCCCUGGUUGUCUAGUGGUAAGGAUUGAGCGCUCUCACCGCGGCCGGGUUCGAUUCCGGUCAGGCAA